rnacentral:rRNA from 1 species
AACGUAGGAGACAAACGUUAUCCGGAGUUACUGGGCGUAAAGGGCGUGUAGGUGGUUUCGUAAGUCUGGCGUGAAAUAUCUCGGCUUAACCGAGGCAGGUCGUCGGAUACUGCGGAACUAGAGGACGGUAGAGGCGUGUGGAAUUCCGGGUGUAGCGGUGAAAUGCGUAGAGAUCCGGAGGAACACCAGUGGCGAAGGCGACACGCUGGGCCGUACCUGACACUGAUGCGCGACAGCAUGGGGAGCAAACAGG